AUGCUAAAUAUUAUUGUUCCAACAAUUACACUGUUACCGAUGACAUGAUUCUCUAAAAAUUCUGUAAUCUGAAUCAACUGGUUAUCCACAGCCUGCUCAUCAGCCUCAUCAGCCUACUAUUUUUUAACCAAUUCAACAAUACCUCAUCCAAUUUCUCAUUAGUCUUCUCUUCUGUCCCGCUGACAUCACCUCUUCUAAUCUUAACAGCCUGACUACUACCUCUUAAAAUUCUAGCAAGCCAAUAUCACCUGUCCAAUGAAUCACACCCCCGAAAAAAAGCUCUAUAUUUCUAUAUUGAUUUCCCUACAGACUUUUUAAAUCAUAGCAUUCACCGCCACAGAACUAAUUAUAUUUUAUAUCCUCUUUGAAGCCACGCUAGUUCCUACCCUAAGUAUCAUCACCCACUAAGGCAACCAACCAGAACGCCUCAAUGCAAGCUCAUACUUCUUAUUUUACACAUUAGUAGGAUCCCUUCCUCUACUUGUAACACUCGUUUAUACUCAAAAGAUAUCAAGGUCACUAAAUAUGCUACCUAGUAAUAAUACUUACUACCCAAGAGCUAUUAACCUCCUGAUCCAAUAAUCUUAUAUGACUAGCAUGUAUCAUGGCUUGUAUAGUAAAAAUACCUCUAUAUGGACUUCACCUAAGACUCCUCAAAGCUCAUAUAGAAGCUCAAUAGUUCUUGCAGCAGUACUCCUAAAGCUAGGCAGUUACGGUAUGAUACAGCUUACUCUUAUCCUCACCCCCCUAACAGAAUAGAUAGCCUGUCUGUUCCUCAUCUUGUCCCUAUGAGGAAUAGCUCUGUUUGUCUACGAUAAACUGAUCGAAAAUCACGUAUUGGCUACUCCUCCGUAAGCCACAUAGCACUUGUUAUUAUGCCUAUCCUCAUCCAGACCCUUGAAGCUUUAUAGGUGCAAUCACCCUUAUAAUUGCUCGCGCAUUCACUUCAUCCUUACUAUUCUGCCUAGCAAAUUCAAACUAUGAGCGAGUCCAUAGAUGAACCAUAUUACUUACCCGAGGGCUUCAAACACUGCUCCCACUAAUAGCCUCUUCUAGCAAAUCUUACUAACCUUGCCUUACUCCCUACCAUUAAUCUAGCAGGAGAACUCUUUGUGACUAUGGCCUCAUUCUCCUGAUCAAAUGUCACUAUUAUGCUUAUAGGACUUAAUAUACUAAUUACAGCCCUUUCCUCCCUGUAUAUGCUAAUCAAGACACAAUGAGGGACACUUGCAUAUUAUAUUAACAGUAUUAAACCUUCCUUUACAUGAGAAAAUACAUUAAUACUUAUACAUCUUGAGCCUAUCUUCCUAUUAUCCUUAAACCCUAAAAUUAUUAUAGGGUUUGCA
rnacentral:lncRNA from 10 species